rnacentral:lncRNA from 1 species
AAGAAACUAAAAGAGAAAAUGAAAAAACAAAUGAAGUACAUGAUAAACCGAGUCAUAAUACCUUCUCAACUAAUUCAAUUUUGUUGACUCGUGCUACGCCUACAAGGUAUCCUUCUUCUUUGUCUUGUUCAUUACCCAAGGUUCCUACUUAUACACCAUAUUGGAUGAAGAAUGUUAAGGAUGAUUUUUUCAUACCUUCUAGUUUUCCAAAUAAUAUCAUUUCUAAACAAUCUUUUCCAACAUGGGCUAUGUAUAGGACAUCUUUUUCUGAACUCCCAACAUUUCAACGUACUAAGUCAUGUUUGCCUAUUUCUUCUUGUAUUCUCUUAUCUAAUUGCAAACUGACUUUGUUUUAUGCAGGAGUACUGAAUUCAUGG